rnacentral:rRNA from 1 species
AUUGAACGCUGGCGGUAUGCUUAACACAUGCAAGUCGAACGGUAGCAGGGCCUUCGGGCGCUGACGAGUGGCGGACGGGUGAGUAACGCGUAGGAAUCUGCCUCAUAGUGGGGGACAACGUGGGGAAACUCACGCUAAUACCGCAUACGCCCUACGGGGGAAAGCGGGGGAUCUUCGGACCUCGCGCUAUGAGAUGAGCCUGCGUUAGAUUAGCUAGUUGGUAGGGUAAAGGCCUACCAAGGCGACGAUCUAUAGCUGGUCUGAGAGGACGAUCAGCCACACUGGGACUGAGACACGGCCCAGACUCCUACGGGAGGCAGCAGUGGGGAAUAUUGGACAAUGGGCGCAAGCCUGAUCCAGCAAUACCGCGUGUGUGAAGAAGGCCUUAGGGUUGUAAAGCACUUUCAAUUGGGAGGAAAACCUGUCGGUCAAUACCCGGC